CGGCGGAGGGGAGAGGGGAGGGUUGGCGAGGAGCGGCGCCCUGCGCAUGCGCACGCCCGCGGGCCUCUCGGGGAGGGGGACAGCGGCUUGCCAGGGAGACUUCGUGCAUGCGCCGUGAGGAAGCCAGGCGGGACAAAGGGCGACUACGCUUGGUUCUGAUCUAUAUAACCAGUUGGUAUCUCACAUCCUAAAUAAACCAUGUGAACACA